GAGGGUAUAGCCCAGUGGUAGAGUGUGUGCCUAGCAUGCAUGAGGUCCUGGGUUCCAUCCCCAGUACCACUCA
rnacentral:tRNA from 1 species